rnacentral:tRNA from 1 species
CGGGGAGUACCUCAGUUGGCAGAGGCGGACCUUUGGGAGGUUCGUGUCGCGGGUUCGAGUCCCGCCUCCCCGACCA